GUCCACGCCGUAAACGAUGGAUACUAGCUGUUGGGGGCAACCUCAGUGGCUAAGCGAAAGUGAUAAGUAUCCCACCUGGGGAGUACGAACGCAAGUUUGAAACUCAAAGGAAUUGACGGGGGCCCGCACAAGCGGUGGAGCAUGUGGUUUAAUUCGAUGAUACGCGAGGAACCUUACCAAGGCUUAAAUGUAGAUUGACGUAUUUGGAAACAGAUAUUUCUUCGGACAAUUUACAAGGUGCUGCAUGGUUGUCGU
rnacentral:rRNA from 1 species